rnacentral:rRNA from 1 species
AUUGAACGCUGGCGGCAGGCCUAACACAUGCCAGUCGAGCGGCUGCAGGGAGCUUGCUCCUGGAUUCAGCGGCGGACGGGUGAGUAAUUCCUAGGAAUCUGCCUGGUUGUGGGGGAUAACGUCCGGAAACGGGCGCUAAUACCGCAUACGUCCUGAGGGAGAAAGUGGGGGAUCUUCGGACCUCACGCUAUCAGAUGAGCCUAGGUCGGAUUAGCUAGUUGGUGGGGUAAAGGCCUACCAAGGCGACGAUCCGUAACUGGUCUGAGAGGAUGAUCAGUCACACUGGAACUGAGACACGGUCCAGACUCCUACGGGAGGCAGCAGUGGGGAAUAUUGGACAAUGGGCGAAAGCCUGAUCCAGCCAUGCCGCGUGUGUGAAGAAGGUCUUCGGAUUGUAAAGCACUUUUAGUUGGGAGGAAGGGCAGGAAGUUAAUACCUUGCUGUGUUGACGGUACCAGCAGAAUAAGCACCGGCUAACUUCGUG